CUUUUUUUUUUUUUGAAAUCCAUUCUGGGAAUCCAAAUGUUUUGUUUUUAGUCAAGUUUUGUUUUAACUAUUCAAGUGAAUCCCUUCAUCAUUCUUUCUUUGUUUUAUGAAUAUUAAUAACUAUACUCUCUUUUCAUAUGGCUUUGUAUAAACUAUAAAAGAAGUGGCAAUUUUUCGUUUCCAUCUGGAUCACAAUGAUCUGCACUUGUUUUUAAGUUCUCUAGAAUCUCUACCAAAUAUUGCUUUAUGUCUCAGUUUGAAUAUUGAAUAAUCUUUAUCUGUCUUCUACUACAGGUAUAUAUGGCAUCCAUGUUCGAGGACCAAGAUAAGUUG
rnacentral:misc_RNA from 1 species